GACUCCUACGGGAGGCAGCAGUAGGGAAUAUUGGUCAAUGGGCGAGAGCCUGAACCAGCCAUGCCGCGUGCAGGAUGACAGCCUUCUGGGUUGUAAACUGCUUUUGUCAGGGAAGAAAAAGGUCAUGCGUGAUCAAUUGCCGGUACCUGAUGAAUAAGCACCGGCUAACUCCGUGCCAGCAGCCGCGGUAAUACGGAGG
rnacentral:rRNA from 14 species